UGCAAGCUGAGCUCCACCACUACCACGCGUGGCCUCCAAUAUCAAUGUCUUUGUCUCUUCGCAAUAGUGCUUAAUUAAUAGAAAUAUCUAAUAACAAAUUAUGCAUACAAGUUUUAUGGUACAUUAUUUUUUGGUUGAUUUGAUUAGCGUACCCAUGGUUAUAUAGUGAAAAACAAUGCAAGUUUCUUUGGCUUAGCACCAGGAACCGCCAGGGGAGGAGCGCCAAGAGCACAUCUAGCGGUGUACAAAGUAUGUUGGGGUUGGGGAAAGGACUACGAUGGCAGGUGCCCUGAAGCAGACAUUCUUGCAGAUGAUGCUUUGCACGAUGGAGUUCACGUGAUAUCAGCGUCGUUUGGAUCAAAGCCGCCAUUUUUGCCACUGUUUGUAUCAUUAGCUGCAAUUGGUUCAUUUCAUGCAAUGCAGUUGGGCGUUAGUGUGGUGUUCUCUGCAGGUAAUGAAGCGCCCGACCCCUCACAGGUCACAAACGUUGCUCCUUGGGGAAUUUGUGUAGCUGCUUCCUCCGUUGAUCGAAUGUCUCCAACCCGAAUAAUCCUAUACAAUAAGCUCUUUGUUAAUACAUAUAAAUCAUGGGUUAUACAUGGCAUUACAUGUUAAUUAUGAUACAGUGAUGAAAAGGUCAAAUUUUAAUUACUUUGUUUGAGGUGAUACUCUAAUUUAAUUAACAGUGGAUCACGACCCUAAUCAUUUCGUGAAUAUAUGCUUCAGCACCUUAAUUAGCUGAGCCAUUCAUAAAUCUCCAUUUUGCACAGGGAGACAGCUUUAUUACCACACCUACUAAGGCAAAAUUAGCAGAUGCAACCAUAUAUUUAGUUUUGCAGGCCAGGGAAUUGGAUAAAAUCAAAGUUUGCGGUUCGAAGAGUAAUUCUAUGCUUCUCAAACAUAGGACCAUUGAGGCAAAGGUAGCUGCCAAGAAAGCGAACGCAUCGGGUUUGAUCUUUGUGGCAUCUUUGACAAGGCAGGUUGCCGUCGACAUCAUCCCCUCAGUCCAUGUCAACCUUUAGCAGGGGACUAAAAUCAAGCACUACCUUGCUCAAUCUUCCACCUCCUAGAGUUGCAAACUUUUCUUCAAGAGGACCAAGCUCACUUGCACCUUAUAUUCUCAAGUAACAGAACAUGAUCCACAUUCCCACCAUGGCACAUUACAAACAGCCACCUUAACACUUGAUGAUAAACGUUCUGUGAGCUGGAAUUUUCCGUCGGGAACAUUAAUGUCAUGACCUCAUGUGUCCGGAGUCGUUGCCCUUAUCAAAUCUGCACAUCCGAAUUGGUCUCCGGCAGUCAGUAGGUCUGCUCUCAUCACCACAGCAAACACGAGGGACACAUCCUUUGACAUUGGUGCCGGCCACAUUGAUUGACCCCAUCAAACGGAUGGAUCCAGGCCUCGUUUACGACAUGAAAACAAGCGAAUACGUUCUAUUCCUCCGCAACAUUGGCUACACCGGUGACCAAAUCAAUCAGAUUUUCUUUGCUCUCCCGGAAGUGACACAAGCUGUCCACAAGUACGAACUUCAAAUUUUCAACAUAAACUACCCCUCCAUCACAGUUACCAAUUUCCAAUCUCCAAUCCACCGUGACGAUAAAAAAAAGGGUCCGCAACGUGGGGAAAACUAAGAAUGCGAUUUAUUUUUGUACCGUUUUGGAAACUGAUGGAGUAGAGGUAUAAAUAUGGCCUGUAGUUUUGAUAUUUUCAUGGUUAAAACUAGAAAAUACAUAUUAUGGAAUAGAUUGGUUCGAUGGCUUCCACAAGGUCAGAAAUCUCUUGGUUGUAUCUGUCAACAUUGCCUACUGUGACUCUCAUGAAUAUUUACAUCACUCAUAUAAUCACUAUUU